GGGUGUGAGGGCGAUCUGGCUGCUACAUCUGUUACCCUGUUGAUGGCAUGAUUCAGCUGAUCUAGCUGGUGAGGUGGGUGUCCGCUUCCUCCCUCACUGCUGUAUGUGUGUCCCUCCUGAAGCUGUGUGCUUGGUCAAAGAGGACAACCUUCCCAGACAUGAGAGUAUCAUUUUUCCUCAUUCA
rnacentral:snRNA from 1 species